GGGGAUGUAGUAUAACGGCUAUUACACUGGCUUGCCGAGUCAGUAAUGAGAGUUCAAUUCUCUUCGUCCCCU
rnacentral:tRNA from 1 species